rnacentral:lncRNA from 1 species
CUAAUUCUUUGCCUCUCAACCUAUCCCUCUCGUUAACAAGCCACACGGCUGCAACUCCUCUCCAUCUCUCGUUAAAUAAGCCAGCAGCCACUACCCACUGCCGCAGCGCACCUCCACAAAAUACCAGCUGCAUCACGUCGCCACAAGUCUGCUACACCACUUGUAAUCUCUUGCGAAUCAACCUCCGUAAAAAGAGAACACUAGCCGCAUCACGUCGCCACAAGCCCGCUACACCACCUGUAAUCUCUAGCGAAUCAGCCUCCGUAAAAAGAGAAAUAAAUUCAAUUCAAAAAAACAUUUUGAUCAAGAAGACGAUGGCGGUGUUCAAAAAUUAUUUUGAGCAUGAGCGGAUCUCCGGGAUCGACAACAUCAUUGUUGCAGCAGCGGCGGCUGGCAUUAGUAAUGUUCUUUUUUGUCAUUUGAUUUUUUUUCCGGUUGCUUGUUGGUUUGUUUAAGUUAAUAAUUCCAUAAGAUUGAAUGAAUUUACUUGAAACAAUUGUUUUGGUUUUGGACAAUGUUGCCGGUUUGUUAGUUAAAAGUAAACUUUUAUGUAUGCUUGAAGACCUGAAGCACGAGGAGCCCAGGAGGGAUGCCUUUGCAGUUUGCCUAGUGCUUGGAAAAUGCGGGCAGAGAAAACCCGAAAAAAAAGCCCGUGCCCGGAUACUGCCGGGCAUAUGCCCGGCCCGCAUAGAAAAAAUUCGGACACGGUCCAGGUCUGGGCAGCAAUGUGUGUCAUGCGGGUGAGUCCCAGGCAGCCCCAAAACCGGACCUGACCCGGACUUUUGCCAACCCUAAAUUGUUAUGUAUGUAAUUGAUUUUAAUUUUCCUGCGCGCUUUUCUUAUUUUGCAUCGGUGCAAGGAAAACAUGAUACUGAGUCCAAAAUAUCCUUGAAUUUGACAUAUUGAUACUUUGAUCCUUUUUAUUUUGACAGUAUCAUAUUAGUUUAUGUCGUUAGUUAGUAACAGUUGGCAUUUUUUUUUUUACUGAAUUAUGAAUUAAACUGAAAUAGCAUAAGUUUUAAAUUUAUGCAUAUGUCUCAAUUUUGACACCCUCAGAAUUUCUUAUAGAAUCCCUUUUUAAUUGAAAUCACCCUUAUACAAAAGACAAAUUUAUUCACUUCUUAUUUCGAAUGAGAAUUCAAUUAAACACUAUUCUUUUACUAAAUAUUUUACACAUUCCAUUUUAUAAUUUAUAUUCGUAUUUUACAUUUUAAAUAAUUUUUUUAGAGAAAAUUAUAAGAGUUAAUGUUAUAGAGAUAGAGACGCUGUAGUAAGAAAAUAAUUUAAGUUUUUUGACUUGCAUUUAUUUUAUAAAUAAAAACUUAGAAAAAAUACCUUUUCAAGGUAAAAUUUUAUGGAUAUAUGAUGACACACCUACAAACUCUCAUAUACAAAGUAUUUUUAUACAAAUUAACAUGACAUAACAUAGUCAAUCGAAUGAAAAUACUACAUAACCGACAUGAUUUAUUUUUAUAUUUUAUAUUUCUACUACACUAAUGAUAUAAUGCUGCAACAAUUAAACAAGAGUUUAUAGGUAUAGUAUUAUUCUUAAUAUUAAUGUGUGUUUAUUUUUAUAAAUUAAAUUGGGGUAUCAAAGAAAUAAAAUUUAAAAUGUGUGUUAUGAGGAUUUUAGAAGGGUGUUAAAAUCUCCACUCAGUACGAACAUUGGAUAGUAUUCAAGCCUUUUCAUUCUACGAACCAUGUGUAGUACAUUCUUGCUAGGCCUCGAGAAAGUGGAAAUUCAUCUCAUGCUCUAAAAUUACUUCAGCCACAAUGACCAAAAAAAAAAAAAAAUUGUCCAUGAUUGAUUUAGUGGGCAGAAGGCAAAAGAAAGAGCAUUAUUGUAUCUCGUUGUUGGGCAUAAGAGACUAUGGGGCCACACAAAAUGUUCAUGACUAUAACUCUAUAAUAAUCCCAAGAGGUCUAUCGUGAGGGCAAAGCUGAUCUAAGAAUUAUUCACGUAUAAAUUGUAAAAAUAUAGCCUACUGAUUUCAUAAUUUAUAUAAAAGUAAUUUUUCUUCUUCGUCAAGUAUUGUAAAAUUUCUGCUGUGAACUUAAUCCUAUCGCUGAAAUUAAUUUGAUCUAAUGUCUAUAAUUCUCUGUCUUUACAAGGGACUGUUGAUAUCUGGUUUAUUAGAUAGUCACCUGCUGUCAUUGCCCCAGAUCGUAUCCUUAAUUCUUGUUGAGUCACUAUUUCAGUCAGUGUUGCUGAGGUUCCAUUGGGACAUUUGAUCAUGUACCCGAUUCAUUUCAUCAAACACUUCAUUUUCUGCCAAGGCAAUGCCACUUGGGGUUGUCAUCACACUAAAUCAUUGAUUUAGAUAUGAGUUGCAACUUUAAUUCAGGGAGCAAAGACAUUAGCCAAACCACUUCUACUGCUAGCUAUGCUGUAGUGCUCUAUAUUCACCUUCUCCAUGUGCAGUACAUGCCUUGACGUCCCAUUCUAUUUUUCAAAGUUAAUUUCAUUAAUUAAAAAUCAAGUUCAUAUUGAAAUUUUAACCGUUUCUUAUAAAUAAAGUUGCUUUGAGUUUUCCAACUUCAUAAAACUAAUAAUAUUUAUCUUAUGGUGAGCGACAGUAUCACGUAAUGUUGUUGGUUAAUUCACAACUUAAACAUUAUUCACGAGGAGUCAUAAAAUUUUAUCAUGUAUCUACAUGCUCACAUAUUAUUGGCAUUUGUGCUCAUUAGAUCAUCUUCCUAUAAGAUCAAACAUCCAUUUUAAUUCCUUUAAAAAUUCCAUUUUAGUUGGAAUAAAAAAUAAUCUAUGUUAAUUUUACUCCUUAAAUCUCAUUGGUAAAUUGCCGUCUUCGUCUCUCUCUCUCUCUAUGUAUCUCCUCUGCACCAACACGUUCAUCCAUCAUUGAAAUUUAUUGGUGUUACAAAUGAUGUUCAAUUCCUGAACUUGAAUUUUGAAAUAAAAGAUUAUAUAUUACCAGACAUAAAAAAUAAAAAAAAGUACCACAUGUUCUUCUAAUCAAAGUAACUUCUGAUCAUUUUAUAUUAUUUGUAUGCUUACUUUGGGUACUUCUCAUUUUGAUCAGCAAGAGAAUUUGACAUAGACACUAUGACACUAUUUUUUACUGAAUUAUGAAUAAAUUUGAAUUUGCAUAAGUUCGGCAUAUUCAAUUAAACACUAUUCUUUUAAUAAACCUUUAAACCCAUCCCAUUUCAUAAUUUAAAUUUUAAUUGAAUUUUUUUAGAGAAAAUUAUAAGGGUUUAGAGUUACAAAGAUAGAAAGUAGAAACUAUAGUAAGAAAACAAUUUAAGAUUUCAGGAUUUUUAUAUUUUUAUAAAUAAAAACUUAAGAAAAGAUCUUUUUAGGGUUUAAAUUUUAUGGAUUGAUGACGAUACACCUACAAAUUCCUAUAAAAAUUAUUUUUGUACAAACUAACAUGGCAUAACAUAGUUAGAUGAAUGAAAACACUACAUGAUCCAUGUAAUAUAUAUUUCUUAUUUUAUAUUUUCCCUCAACCAAUAGUUUAAUAUCGCAUCAGUUUAUAUAAAAAUUGUCGCUAUAAUAUUACUCUUAAUAUUAAUAUGUAUGUUCGGUUUUUAUUUAUUAUGUGCGUUUGUUUUUUAUAAAUUAAAAUAAAGGUAUUUAGAAAAUAAAAUCCGGAACCGAAAGAGUGUUAUAUGGAUUUUAGAGGUGUAUUAAAAGCUCCAUUCUAUAUGAAAAUUGUAGCCCAAUCUAAAUGCCAAAAUACUGAUCGGGCUUUUCAUGCUAUGAACCAUGUGUUGCGCCUUCUUGCUAGACCUCGAAGAAGUGAAAAUGUCAUGUCAAGUUUCAAUCCCGAGUUUAUUUUCACAAUGUGGCUGAAAUAAUUUGGACCUACAAAGAGACUUUUGUCUUCCACUCUCAAAAGUAAAGCAUACAUCAAAAACGAGAAAAAAAUAUCUUGCCCCACGAUUGAAAAGUUAGUGGAUAUGCCAUUUUGUAACCACUAAUAUUUGGCCAAGGGUCAGUCUUGCUUAUUCUGAAAAACAUAGUCAAGUCGAUACCAUUCGAUCCAAUAAGCUGAAAAGGAAAGGAGAGCAUUAUCUUUAUUGGGCAUAACUUUAGAAUAUCAUCUAUCGUGUGUGCAAAGCUGAGCUCAGAAUCACCCACGUAUAAAUUGUAAAAAUCCGCCUAUUGAUUUCAUUCAUUUCAUAAGUUCAUAUAUAAUUAAUUAAUUAUUGUUUCUUCUUCGUUAAGUAUUGUAAAUUUUUGAUGUAGGACAAACGUAGUAGUAUAAAUUUAAUUUCUUUUUUUUCUAGUUUGAUAAAAAUUUAUUUUAUAUUUUUCUUAUUUAAAUUAUAUUCUUUUACUUAUAAGGAAUCACAAUUUUAUUAGGAAUAAGAUAAUCUUAACUAGUAUAAAUAUACUUAUUAUACUUGGUUUUUACAUAAGUUUCUCAUUAAUAAUAUUCAAUAUUUCUCAAUUGAGAUAUUUAUCCUUUGUGAGAGUGUUCUUCUUGAGUUUUCAAGAAUGUGCACUAGAACGAAAUCUAGUAUCAUUUCCACCCUACGUCAAAUUUCAACCGUGAACUGGAUCCUAUGACCAAAACUUUUAUUUUUUAAUUACAUGAGAUUAUUGCUUAAAUUAUAAUUCAUAUUAUAUGAGACUAUAACUGAUAUUUACAAUCAAACAAUUAAUAAGAUUAGUAAUUUAAUGAGUGCUAAUUAUAAUGAUUAUAAAAACAGUAACAAUAAGAGAAAAUCAAAACCAUGUGUGUAUGUAUAUGUGUGUGUAUAUACAUAUAAAUAUAAUGUAAUGUAAUGUAAUAAAAUACAUUACAUGAACCUUGGGCCAAAGCUGUGUGGGAGCGGUUGCAAACAGUUGGUGUAAUAGAGAAGUGACUGAAACAGUGUAACUGUGGGAGAGGUCGUUGUCAUUGGCAUAGCUAUUGUUGGAUGAACAGAGAAGCCAUAUAAAAAGAACAAAAGCCUUGAGGAGAAUCCUCAUUAUGCGCUCGGAGGACUGUUAAUUUGUGUGGCUAAAUGUAUGUUCACGAAGCUUCCAAGUCUCCAAGAACAUAGACCGACUAUUUGCUAUCUUGGCUUCACUUAUAUAACAGUAUAAUAAGAAAAUAAUUUAAGACUUUGGCAUUUGUAUAUAUUUUAAAUAAAAACUUAAGAAAAAUAUUUUUUAGUGUGAAAUUUUAUGGAUAGAAAAUGAUACACCAAUAAAUUCUUAUAUACAAAUUAUUUUUAUACAAACUAACAUAGCGUAAUAGGUUAGUUAAAUAAAAAAUAAUACAUGACCUGUAUGAUUUAUUUUUAUCUUUUAUAUUUCCACUCAAAUGAAUUGACAUAAUGUUAUAUCAGGUUAUACAAGAGUUUGUAGGUACAAUAUUACUAUAUUAUUGUGGACUUAUCUUUUAUAAAUUAAAUUGAGAGUAUUUAAAUAAUAAAAUUCAAAACGUUAAAAGCUCCCCUCUAAAUGAAAAAUGAAUAGUAAUUGGGCCUUUUCAUUCUAGGAACCAUGUGUUGAACAUUCUUGCUAGACCUCAAGAAUGUGGAAAUUAAAGUGAUGCUCUAAAGUUUCAAUCGCAUAUGUGUCUCCCGUUGUGGCUAAUGUAAUUUGGACCGAUAAAGACUUCUUCCACAUUCAAAAGAAAAGAACACACCAAAAAUGACAAAAAAAAAAAUAUUUUGCUCCAUGAUUGAUGAGUUACUGGACACAUUCUUGUUAGGAAUGAAAAUGGAGGGAGGAAAGGUGAUCUAUAUUCCCAUAUGUAUUCCUAAUAUUUUGUAUAUAUUUUUACUUAUGUUAAAAUUGCUAGAGGGAGGGGAUGAGGAUCUCCUAAUAAUAAAUAAAAGAUCCCAAAUGCCCUCCCCUCUCGUUAACAAGCCACACGGCUGCAACUCCUCUCCAUCUCUCGUUAAAUAAGCCAGCAGCCACUACCCACUGCCGCAGCGCACCUCCACAAAAUACCAGCUGCAUCACGUCGCCACAAGUCUGCUACACCACUUGUAAUCUCUUGCGAAUCAACCUCCGUAAAAAGAGAACACUAGCCGCAUCACGUCGCCACAAGCCCGCUACACCACCUGUAAUCUCUAGCGAAUCAGCCUCCGUAAAAAGAG